CGUCCACUUUCAUUUGGACCAGCAACGGACACGCAUCGUUUUUUAAUUCAUUUCCAUCAACUGGCGACGAGGUUUUUUUUAUACGAAUAUCGACCGCGUGUGCAGUGAAUAAGUAGUUUUGUGGCAUUGUGGUGCAAUUACUUCAAUACUGUGGUUUUUCGACUGCGAGAAAGCCAAAGCACACCGAAAACAACCCACGAGGACGGUGAGGCAUAUCAAACGACGAGAACUGAGGGCUGCCUGUGAUAUUUUGCAAAACGCCGAACAGCGCCGACGGUGAAGGCAAAAGGAAAGCAAAUUACCGGCAAACCCGCGCGAGUGGCUUGCUGAAAGACGCUGGAGACACCGGAUAAACUAGUUUGAGGUAGUUGAUUCCACGAUCGCCGUUCGGUUGAGCAUCAGGAGUGCAGUUUUCCCUUGGCAGCGUUUGUCGCAUACAUCCGCGGAAGUUGGUUGCUAUACGGACGCCGAAUAAUCCCGUAGGAGGCAGCUGAUUUCGUUGUUGCCGUUCUGUUGCUGUCCGGAGCGACGUUCUGUUGAGCAGCGGAAAAGGGAAAAAUUCGUCGAAAGGUCGGCCUCAGGCAACCGUGGAAGUUACGUGCUACCCAGGAAGGUUUGAUAGUGGUUCGAAUAGUACGGCUUCGGGUCGUUUUUCGGAAAAGGGUUAUUGCGACAAUUGUCGGCACAGGCAAAGGCCUUGGGCGAGAGCCAAUCGUAUCUGUACGGAUAGCAAUUGGAAGCGCUCUCACCAUGGCCCACCGAAGUCAGCUUAGGGGCUACAAGGGGCAAACUCCGCAGCCGAGGCAAAACGUGUGGCAGGGAGUCGGUACGGGUGGUAGAGAUGCUAUGGUCGAGGAACGAACUGGAAUUGAAGAACGGCACGAAGAGGACACCGAAGAAGUUAACGCUGGAAGCGGCUCUGAUGAUGAACCAUUCAGGGGAUUCCCUAUGGUUCCGGCAAAGGCCAGGAAGCGAAACGCGACUUCGGCGGACUUGCCGAGCGUGUGUCUACGGCGAUCGAAGAGGAUUCGCAAACGAAACGAAGAUCCGGAGUUUAGCUAUUCGUAGAGUAUAAGUUCAAAGUGAUGAAUUUUCGAAAAAGUGAAUUGUUUAACAAAUUAAGUUCAUUUGAAGUUUGUUAAGUUCGAUAUAUAUAAGAUAUUUCAAGUUCGAAUUUGUUGAAAUGUAAAUACUUAAGUAUUAAUUUGAAGGGGGAACAGCUGUUGUGUCACCCACCACACUGAACUAUUUAUAAUUGUAAAUACCUAAAAUUACACAAACCUUGAUUAUACGUCAAAUAAGCGUUACUAUCGUAACGCUUCAAUCUGUCAAGAUAAUAAAGAAUAAAUCUCUCGUCCACUUUCAUUUGGACCAGCAACGGA